rnacentral:rRNA from 1 species
UCUGCAUUCCCUAGUACGGCGAGUGAAGCGGGAAGAGCUCAAAUUUGAAAUCUGGCAGUCUUCGAUUGUCCGAGUUGUAAUCUAUAGAGGCGUUUUCCGUGCCGGACCGUGUCCAAGUCUCCUGGAAAGGAGUAUCAAAGAGGGUGAUAAUCCCGUACUUAACACGACCACCGGUGCUCUGUGAUACGUCUUCUACGAGUCGAGUUGUUUGGGAAUGCAGCUCAAAAUGGGUGGUGAAUUCCAUCUAAAGCUAAAUAUUGGCGAGAGACCGAUAGCGAACAAGUACCGUGAGGGAAAGAUGAAAAGCACUUUGGAAAGAGAGUUAAACAGUACGUGAAAUUGUUGAAAGGGAAACGAUUGAAGUCAGUCGUGUUCUUUGGAUUCAGCCAGUUCUGCUGGUCUACUUCCUUGGAACGGGUCAACAUCAGUUUUGUCCGGUGGAUAAAGGUAGUAGGAAUGUGACUUCUCCGGAAGUGUUAUAGCCUAUUAUCACAUACACUGGGUGAGACUGAGGACUGCAGCUCGCCUUUAUGGCCGGUCUUCGGACACGUUCGAGCUUAGGAUGUUGACAUAAUGGCUUUAAACGACCCGUCUUGAACCACGGACCAAAUUUAUA